AGGAGGAGGAGGAGGAGGAGUGAAGUAAAAAGCUGGGAUGUUGGUGAAAGAGAUACAGGGUUGGAGAAGGGGAAUCUGAUAGGAGAGGACAGGAGGCCAUGGAAGAAAGGGAAGGGGAGGAGCUCCACAGGGAGGUGAUGAGCAGGCAAAGUGAGAGAGGGAAAUGGGAAUGGGGAACCCUAUCUUACCUGCCCACCACCUCCUUCUGUUGUUCCUCCCCGGUUCCCGUUCUGCAUUCUGUGAUGGUUUUACCUCGAUGGAUUGUACCGGUGAAAUGGUCUGUCUGAAUGGUUAUUCUUUACCAAACGCACUGAAAUAUUUGACUGCGAUCGGGGACCAAAACUUUGCGAGCGAGUGAGGAAGAGGUGUAUUCCUCCGCGACUGAAGCGGGGGACUAGUUGCCUGCAGGUGGAGGAGAGCGGGGCGGUGAGAUGGCCAGCUGGGUGAGUCCCGACCCGGCGGCAGAUCGGCCUGAAGCAGCUCGUUAACUUCAGCAGCGGCGAACAGAACACCACAAGUCCCCCACAACCCUGUACCUUGGGCAGGUGUAUGGACAACGUGACGCAGGACCAGAAGUUCCAUUCUGUUCCCAAUCACCCCGAUGGUCCAUCACCAGCGAGUGGAUUAAUUCCAGGAAUGACGGCAGCCGCGAUCUUCAUUGUCUUCCUGCUGGGAUUGUACACGAUUCUGUGGAAAUGCAUGAGUUUCCAGACUAACAGGCACCGAGGGAGCGGGCGGUCGAAGCUGAGGACUGCGCACGUCUCCUGCUGACCCCGGGUUUGACGGCGCGUGGGCCCCGUGGAUCCGUCAGACCUCCCGUGCGAGCAGCUGACCGGCCCACCGCUGACCCGUCGUGAAUGGAGCCUCCGCGACGGUGGGGGUGUAAAACGUCAGUGCUGGCACUACGUCUGCAUCCACCGCCUCCAGCCUGCGGAGACCAGAUCGAGUCCUCUCCCUGUUCCACCUUUCUGCGGUUGUGGGCGACCCUUUCCAUCUGAAUAUAAAUGGGACCUUGAAACUGGGCUGACUGGAACAGCAAGCAACUUAAAUUGCCUCUAACCCAACUCUCUGUAGUAUUAAGCAGAAACAUUAAAAUCAGCUGGUUACUGUAAGGGUUAAAUCUGGCUGGUAACUGCAAGGUGUUUGGUAACCCUGGCCAGGGAUUCACUUUUAAAUCGGGCCCCAGUUUGGUACGCUGACGUUGUAAUGUUCAUCUCCAGCCGUGUGUUAUGGAAGUACUGUUCAGUGUAUUCCCCGGGUGAAUGGGGAAAUGCGGUUGGCUCUUCUCCCUGUCCCAGUGAGGGUUCUCUACGGGGGCAUCAAAUGGGGACACAACUGCAGCUCGCUCACUUACACCUUCCGAGCAAAUCGACUGUAACCCAAGAGCUCCUGGGGCAGGGCGUACGGGCAGACGGCCGUCCGCCGAAACGGGUGACCUGCCGAGUGUGGGGCAGCCAUGCCGGUGGCGCUGCCUGAAGGGAAUAGGGUCGCUCUGCAUGCCAGCCUGGGCUUGAAUUACCUCCUUCCAAUGAUUCAGUCCAAUUAAAACAUCACAGCACACUACAGGCCCUUCGGCCCACAAUAUUGUGCUGACCUUUUCACCUACCCCAAGAUCAAUCUAACCCUUCCCUUCACUUUCCUUUCAUCCUUGUCAGUCUAAGAGUUUCUUAGACAUUCCAAGUAUAUCGCCUGUCCCACCACCCCGGCAGCAUAUCCCAAGCACACACCACUCUGUGUAACAAAAAACAAUUUACCCGUGACAUCCACCCUGUAUGUUCCUCCAUUCACCUUAUAAUUAUGUUCUAACAUAUUAACCAUUUCAGCCUUGGCCUCUGGCUGUCCACUCUUAUCUAUGCCUCUUAUCAUCUUUUACACCUCCAUCAUCUCCUCUCAUUCUCCUCCUCCAAUUGAUCAUUGAUGACCCAUUACUGAGAACAGGUAAGAUCCAAUGGGACGUUGGCUCCCAACCGGGGGUGAGUGUUGGAUAGUAACUCUCGGACCUUGGGAAGCAGAGCUGUCACCCUGGAAGACGAGGAACCAGGAGCUGCAGUGAUCUGGUAUGUUUUGGUGUCCACCUCUGGCGCAAGUCAACAAGUAGAGAAAUGAUGUCAAAGACUUUAUGAAGGAGCUGGAGUACUGGGGCAGCACGAUACUCCUUACUGGAAAUAAGGCUUUCACUGGGAAGACCGUGUUGUCUAUGAAAGAUUCCAGCAUGGUUUUUAGGGGAAUGUUUGCUGUUGAGCCUGGCUUAUGUCCUUUGACUCUUGGACUCCGUAGUGUGGAUGGUGAAAGGAUUGAUGGGACAGGACACCACAGGAACAGCCCCUUCGGCCCACAGUGUCGAGCCAAACCAAUGAAAUUAGUAAUGAAAAUGGUUAACUGAUGUCUUCUGCCAUGUCUAAUGUCCAUAUCCUUCCAUUUUCCUCACAGAAAUAAGAGUCUCUUAAAAGUCUCUAAUGUUCUGCCUCUACCACCACCUCAGACACCCACCACUUUGUGUACAUAAAAAAAAAGUCCCUCACAUCUCCUUUGUAAUUAAUCCCUCUCACCUUAAAUGCAUGCUCUCGGAUAUUAGACAUUUCAACUGUCGGAAAAAAGAUAUUGUCAUCUAUCUAUGCCUCUCAUAAUCUUAUAAACCUCUCUCAGAUCCUCCCCUCAGCCUCCAACGCUCCAAAGAAAACAACCCAAGUUUGUCCAACCUCUUGUUAUAGCACAUGCCCUCUAGUCCGGGCAGCAUCCUGGUAAACCUCUCCCCCCUGCCCCCCUCAAUGAAGUGUUGAUUAAGUUCCUUUUAUUGAGGGAAUCUUAGGAUGGGGGGGGGGUGAAUUUCAGGAUUAAGGCUGGUAAUGAAGUUGUUCCAAGCAGUUGAGGCUUAAAUUGAAUGGCUGGGGGAAGAGUGUCAAACAUUAAUAAUACGAAAUGUCUAUGGAAUUAAGAUGCGGAGAAUGAUCAAGAAAGUUGAGGGGAGCUGUCCUUGUACCUAUUCCGAUUCUGAAUACAGACCAAGAAAAACUU